UAAAGGGGAAGGAGCUCUCCUAGAGGAAGCUAAUGGAAGAGGCUUGAUGGCCCAUCUCCUGCUGCUGGUGUCCCAGGAGAAGAUUGUGCAUCAGGGUCAGAUAUCCCGGUUGCUGUAUGAGUCUCAGGAAUGGGGACCGAAAAAGACGAGGGGAGAACCAAAGGAGUGCUGAGAUUCAGGAGCAGCUGUUUGGUGAGGAUCAAACGCCCCGUGGCAAAAAGGGUCGGGGCCGAAAUGAGACGGAUGCGAGAAGAGGAGGAGAGAGGCUCAGAGAGGAGAAACUGGGAGGAAAAGACCCCGCGAAGUCAGACUUAAGAGAGAGUUAGGGUGACGAGCAGAGCCAGUUUGAAAGAGAGCCACCAACGAAGAAUCUAAGGAGGUGAUUUCCCCAGAGGGGAGAGAAAGGGGUGGAGGGACCCUGAUCCCGUUGGGAAGUGACUGGGGUUGGAGGUUUUGUUGUUGUUGUUGUUGUUUAUUUAGCGGGGCUAUGUAGCAAGCCUAGCGAACACAAGGAGAAAAAAAAAACAGAAAAGAAGAGGAAAUUGAGAGCGGGCGCUGCUGGUCCUCAGGAAGAGAGACCACGCCCAGAGAAAUAAGGAGGAAUUAAAAAGACUAAACAUGGGAGGAUAUAAAACACAUGUACUAAAAAGAGUUAGAGAAACAGUAACACAAUUAAAGUAAGAUCUUAUCCAAGUUGGAUUCCAUUUAAGUUGAUACUGAUAUUUAAUUGAUGUAAACACGUAACCACUUAGUGAUGGAUGUAAGUUCUAGAAGGUAUCAAUAAAGGACACUGUUAAGCCAAACUAAGUAAGACUGUGAUUUUAACUUGACAGUCGGUACUAGCGGUACUAUACAAGAACCACAAAAAACUAAAUUAAUAACUCAAGAAGAUCCCCUUCCCCACUACAGAUUGCCUGAUUUUAUUGGGGUAGAUAACCAAUAAUACCUCCCAGCUUAUAACAUCGGAUAAUAAUCCAGACAUGGGAGGCGAGAGUCAGUCAAUACCAUUAUUAGCCCAAACUGUGCAAUCAGAAGGAAGAAAGGCAAGAAUACUGCAUCAGGUUAGAUGUAACCCCCCCACAAGUGGUGCAUUGGCCCGGAACUUCGACAACAGCCUAAGUCAUAAG